ACAGCGGCAGUGCAGGCCGGCAGUCUGCAGUCUCGCAGGAGUGGCACUGCAAGAAGUAGGCGAAGGGCCACACCACAGACGGCCCGGCAGGCCUCCGGCGAGGCCUCGCCCCCCGGACGCUCCAA
rnacentral:SRP_RNA from 1 species